rnacentral:rRNA from 1 species
GACGCGAUCACAAGCCUAGCCUUGGCCGAGAGGUCCGGGUAAUCUUGUAAUCCGCGUCGUGAUGGGGAUAGAUUAUUGCAAUUAUUAAUCUUCAACGAGGAAUGCCUAGUACGCGCAGUUCAUCAGACUGCGCGGAUUACGUCCCUGCCCUUUGUACACACCGCCCGUCGCUCCUACCGAUUGGGUGUGCUGGUGAAGUGUUCGGAUCGGUGCGUUGUGGCGGUUUCCGCUGCGGCGCGCUGAGAAGUUCUCUAAACCCUCCCACCUAGAGGAAGGAGAAGUCGUAACAAGGUCUCCGUAGAAGUGUUUAUACACCGUGCGGAUAAAAGCGGGCCUGAAAAGGGUUUUCCGCUAGUGGGGCUGCUGCGGCAGACUCGCAACACCGUCAAAUUGCUCGGAAAUCCUGCUAUGUCAACAGUACCGCCUCUGGUUUGGAAACAUGCCAGAGGCACCGGGGGGAAACUCGCGGGUAUGGUGAUAAUCUGUUGAAUAGGGACGAUGAGCAGCCAAGCCCUACGGUAGCGUCAGGCUACUAUGGGUGCAGUUCACAGACUAAAUGUCGGUGGGUCUCUUUUCGAGGCUUAAGAUAUAGUCGGCCCGCGCCGAUAGGCGAGCCCUUUAGAGGAUCCCGGGGAUUUUAAACAACCUGGGGGAGAGCUGAAGGGGGCUGGGACUAAUAGUCGCACGACGGCACGCAUUUUUCCAAAAUGGACCUCCCCAGUCGGAGUUGGCGAGGGUAACCUGCGAAGGAAUCGUUUGAAUCAUAUCGUAUCCGCUCUGGUAUCCACUCUGUACCCCGUUUCACGGACCCUCCCGGGGA